UAGGGAAUCUUCCACAAUGGACGCAAGUCUGAUGGAGCAACGCCGCGUGAGUGAAGAAGGUCUUCGGAUUGUAAAGCUCUGUCUUUUGGGACGAUAAUGACGGUACCAAAGGAGGAAGCCACGGCUAACUACGUGCCAGCAGCCGCGGUAAUACGUAGGUGGCGAGCGUUGUCCGGAUUUACUGGGCGUAAAGGGUGCGUAGGCGGAUGUUUAAGUGAGAUGUGAAAUACCCGGGCUUAACUUGGGUGCUGCAUUUCAAACUGGAUAUCUAGAGUGCAGGAGAGGAGAAUGGAAUUCCUAGUGUAGCGGUGAAAUGCGUAGAGAUUAGGAAGAACACCAGUGGCGAAGGCGAUUCUCUGGGCUGUAACUGACGCUGAGGCACGAAAGCGUGGGUAGCAAACAGGAUUAGAUACCCUGGUAGUCCACGCCGUAAACGAUGAGUACUAGGUGUAGGAGGUAUCGACCCCUUCUNUGCCGCAGUAAACACAUUAAGUACUCCGCCUGGGAAGUACGAUCGCAAGAUUAAAACUCUAAAGUGAAUUGAC
rnacentral:rRNA from 1 species